rnacentral:rRNA from 1 species
UACGUAGGGUCCGAGCGUUGUCCGGAAUUAUUGGGCGUAAAGAGCUCGUAGGCGGCCUGUUGCGUCCGCUGUGAAAUCCCGGGGCUCAACCCCGGGCGUGCAGUGGAUACGGGCUGGCUGGAGGCAGGCAGGGGAGAACGGAAUUCCUGGUGUAGCGGUGAAAUGCGCAGAUAUCAGGAGGAACACCGGUGGCGAAGGCGGUUCUCUGGGCCUGUACUGACGCUGAGGAGCGAAAGCGUGGGGAGCGAACAGG